rnacentral:lncRNA from 1 species
ACAAUAGAGUGCCCAAUCUAGCAAGAAUGAAGAUCAAGCAUUGUCGUUCCCGAUACUCUCAACAUUAUGCACAUGUAAGACUUUCCGAAGAAGGCCUCACUCAUCAAACAAUGAAAGUUUAAAAGGAGGGACAGGUUUUGGGAGUGGUCUACCACUAGAGUUUGUCAAAAUAAGAUUGGCAUAAAGGAUGUGAUAACUCAGGUGUGUAUAGCCA